rnacentral:lncRNA from 1 species
UUUAUUUCGUAUUUUCAGUACUUUAACAUUAUUUUUAUUUUACAGAAAGAUAGCACUUCCCUCCUUCUACCAAGAAAUUGAACUCCACCAACAUAUCAGGACUCCCCAAAACCGUCUGGAUUUGUCCGUGGUGGUGCUGUAAAACUAAUAAGGACAACUUUAAACAUACAUCAUCCUAGAAACAAUUUCAUUCAAAGGGUGUCAUUUCCUCAAGAGGAAAAAACUCUAGGAAGCUAAAGAGAAGACAGAGAAGAAUCUCAAUUGAUGACACUUUUUUUCAACCUCAUUUACACCUCAAUUUUGAGACACCUAUAAUAUUUAGGAAUUAACAGAAAGGUUACAAGACAGAUGUUUGCCACUUCUUAAGUUAUUUGUUUAGAAGUAUUUGUUGUCCAUGGAAUCCAGCUAAAAGACUGUAUCAGUUACUGAAACAUCCCUACAAGCCAACUGCUUUCAGAAAGACCUCUAUGACUAGCACAAGAUGGUGCCACUAGCAUAUUAUGAUCAACGCUUCGUGCCAUUAGAACACUCUUACCAACUGGCCGCAACCAGCUCAUUAACACGUCAAUACACAGACAAAAAAUUAAAUCAGCCCAAUAACCAAUCUGUGGUCAGAGUACAAUCCCAUAGUAAUAACCCUGUAGUGCCUCCACCGAACUCUAGCCAGAAGGUACAGAGAUGCUCAGAAUUGCCCUCUGUCAAGUCUCAGGACACAAUUUCAGGGGACUGCUAUAACAGGGUUCUAAAAUCACCAUUAUCUCACUCCAAACAUCAGGCCACACCUUCACUACACCUCCAGCGGAGAACUCCCUUGUGGCCUAAUAAGAAAGCCCUGAGCUCGCCUUUGUUCCACCCUAAACCUCAGAACACAUCUUCAUUUGACCUCAUUAAGACAUUGCCACCAGAGCCGACUCAAACAGACUGUAGCUCACAGUUAUCCUUUCCUAAACCUCAGAAUACAUCUUCCCUAGAUCUUUUCUGGACAUCACCUUCACUGAAAUCUAUUCGAAGAGUGUCAAGUUCAUCACUAUAUGCUGUCAAACAUCAAGAAAUUCCUUCCCCAGACUACCUAUGGACAUCAUCAUCUUUGGAAUCUAAUCAAAGAGACUUUAACUCAGCAUUACCCCAGUCCAAGCCUCAGAAAGCCUCUUCAUUGGACAGCCUAUGGUCAUCUUUGUUAGAGCACAAUCAAAGAUGUUUGAGCUCACCAUCACUCAACUCUACAUCUCAAAUAAAUGACUUGUUUCAGACAUCACCUGAAGCCCAUCAUUUGGAGCCUAGUCAAAUGACUCUGAGCUCAUCAUUACCUGACUCAAGACUUGAGACACCACCUGUAUUAAGGUCCAAUUCCAGUGUUCUGAGAUUACCACUGUCGAAUUCAAAACCAAGAAAGUCACCUUUACCAUACUCUGUCCACCAGUCAAAGAGUUUGCCAUUGUUCCAGCCCCAAACACUUGAUCAUGACUUCAGGACCCCAAGCCCAGCAAUGUGUCACUCCAGAUUGCAGAACACCACUUCACCAAGUGACAAACACAAAGCCACAGAUCUUUCCUCACCUCAUCCCAAACCAAAUGUCUCAGGUCAAUCAAUAUUAAGCUCCAGGCACUCCAUGAAGAACAUAGCUGCUUUACCACUGGGCUCCAGACUCCAGCGUAAAAGCAGUUUUGGUCAUUAUGAAGAGACAGGACCCAGUAAAGACAUUCCAUGGACUUUAGAUUACACUCAACCCUGCAUUGUUAAAGGUGGAACUGUCCCCGAUGAUGUUGUAAAUAAAAUUGUCAAUUCUCUCUCCAAGACCAGAAUCCAGAGGGAUCUCUGUAGGCAGAUUCUCUUUCGAAGGAUGAGGGGAAGACCAAAUCCUCGUCCUGGUCCCCGCCUUUCAUCAAGUUAUAUGGUUUGUUUAGCCUGUGCCUCUUGCAUAAAAUCUCACUGUAGCCAUCUUACAGGAAGGAAAGACCCCCAUGCUGCCACACUAUUUGUCAUCCCAACACCUGAGCUCACUCCUGAGAAAGAUAUAAUGGUGAAACUAGUUUUUAUCCUUUCCAUACCAGAGACUACUUUUUUACUCCCUGUGAAAGAAAAUCAGCCUGAUGAAGCUCCUGAAGACAAUCUUGAAGGAAUGGAGAAGAUAUCAAACAUUUCCCCUACAUCGGAAUCUGAUAUCACUCAGGGAUCUAAUGAAAAGAAGACCUGGCUGACAGUAGCCCCCGAAAACCAAGCUGAAAACUCGUCCAUUUGUCUUCUAAUUCAAUGGCAAGUAGCGUUUACUUUUUCAGUCCUUC